UUUUUAAAUGAUGUUAGAACAUCCGCCCCAGUCUGAAUUCUGUGACUGUUUGGAAAUAUUCUGAAAAAAA